GGGGGGGCACAACCACAUGUCUCAUUCAUUGAUGGAUGUAUAACUUUGGCGGUACAAUCUUCGACACCAUAGUUAGAUAUACCGAUACAAAGUACGAUGACGAAAAAAAAAAACAAUGAAAAAAAUCAAGCCGGCUAAACUACAUGUAGGUGGGUGCCACCAACGAACUCCUAACUUGAUGAUUAUUUCUUGUGAAGUGAUCAACCAAAGAGCGCCAACUAUCAAUCUGUGAGCCAAAAGCAGCCUUCCAUUUAGGGCCAUAAACAUUCAUUCAAGAAUCUUCUUUUAUACAACCAGGUCUGUCGGAAAGGGCCAUCUAACAUUUAUAGAUUUAGGCACUGCCUAAGCUCCAAAGUGACAGGACUUUGCUAGUCUUCGAUCCAUAGGUUCAAUAUAAAGCUUUACUACUGCUUGUGACGCUACUGAUAACGUAAAGUUUUGUUGUCUGACAAUGUUUUUUUUACCCUUGGAUAUUAAUAUUCUUAAAACAGAUGCACAUCUUCCAAGCUUGUUUGCUUUAAGGCUGAUUUAGACAACAUGAUUUAGUCGUAUGCGACUUGCCUUUACAACUCAAGUCGUAGAGUGUAAGUCAGCCCACAAAUCCGCUUCGACGCUCAACUACGAAAGUCGUAGAGUGUUAUUCGUGAGUGUUAUAAGACAUGUCGUCUAAAUCAGCCUUAACGAUAUUUCAUGGAAUUUCUUUUCUUUUUAUGACGUCAUCGAUGAUGUCACACAUGUGAUUAUCUCGUCGCACCCCCUUGACACAUACAUGACACCAAGUUUUCGAUGGAACGGACUGAAGGACAUUGCGUCACGAAAACUCGAGUUGAUGGUUUACCAUAUUUAAGUUGUGGUGUCUUCGGCAAUCACUUGCGUAAGGAACCAGUCUGGACUUCCUCCUGAAUUGUCGUGCCAUACUCUGAUCUUGAUUAAAGACCCCAAAUCCUGUCCCAGAAGUAUGUUAAAGAUGUUGAUGCUACCUCUGGCAAAGAAGAUCUCAUUUGCAUGUUCUGGCUUGGAGAGGAAGAUCGGUUGCGAUGCACCAUUCUCUCCGUAGAGAAUCAGACCAACACUGGCUGUGGUUCCACUAGCUCGCCAUGCCCCUGUCUGUAUGAAUAUUUUGUAGCGCUUUUCGCUUGAGUCCUGAUUGGAUUCGUUGAGGCGUAUGGUGGUGUUGACAACCUUGUGGGAUAUAAAAUCAGAAAUAGAGUCUUAUUUUAGAAUUAUGAUAUAAGUUUAGAAUCGGGGAAACAUCAGGAAAAGCCAACCAAA